ACUCAAAUGAAUUGACGGGGGCCCGCACAAGCGGUGGAGCAUGUGGUUCAAUUCGACGCAACGCGCAGAACCUUACCAGCCCUUGACAUGGGACUCGCCGGGAGCAGAGACGCUCCCUUCGGUUCGGCCGGAGUCCGCACAGGUGCUGCAUGGCUGUCGUCAGCUCGUGUCGUGAGAUGUUGGGUUAAGUCCCGCAACGAGCGCAACCCUCGUCUCCAGUUGCCAUCAGGUUAUGCUGGGCACUUUGGAGAAACUGCCGGUGACAAGCCGGAGGAAGGUGGGGAUGACGUCAAGUCCUCAUGGCCCUUACGGGCUGGGCUACACACGUGCUACAAUGGCGGUGACAAUGGGAUGCGAUGGCGCGAGCCGGAGCCGAUCCUAAAAAACCGUCUCAGUUCGGAUUGCACUCUGCAACUCGAGUGCAUGAAGUUGGAAUCGCUAGUAAUCGAGGAUCAGCAUGCCUCGGUGAAUACGUUCCCGGGCCUUGUACACACCGCCCGU
rnacentral:rRNA from 1 species